AGCUUUGCGCAGUGGCAGUAUCGUAGCCAAUGAGGUUAAUCUGAGGCACGAUUAUUGCUAACUGAAACCCUUCCUGA
rnacentral:snRNA from 1 species